AGCCGUCGACGAGACUGGUGUUGUUUUGCUCGCUCUCGGAAACCAGUCCUAUUGGUGAACGUAAUAGAGCGCUGUGUCUGUGUGUGUAUCGUGUGUAUGUGUGUGCGUAGUUGGGGGGUUUUUCCCUACCCUGCUCAUGUAAAAGUGCUUACGAUGCAUGGAAAAUCAGCACCAGUUGAGACAGCUACGCAUCUUUCUCGCACCCUAACUCUGCUUUUCCUUGCCAGAAACUUAUAUGGGACCUGAGUCAAUUGCAAUUUGCUAAAGAGCUUCGACUGAUAGCGAAUGACGAGGUUAACGUUACCCGCCGGAGGAUGAUUGCCUUCGUUUCAUCGGUGGGGCCCAUUUAUUCUGCUUCGAGCAAAAGGCGUAGGAGGCAGUGGAUGGUGUUGAUGGACAAUUCCUUCAAGGAGAGAAAACCACCAUCUGCCAAGCGUGUGUUUUGCAGGCGGGUAUAUACAAUGGGUUAUAUUUAACGAGCACAAUUUUCGUGGCAAAAUGGGAUUUUAGCUUUCUUUGACAGCGAAGCCUUCGCCUCUCCUACUGCCCCUUCCCUCGGCACCCGUGAACCGUCGGCACUACUCCUAUAUAAGGCAUCCACUACCGCUACCGGUGCGCUGUGGAGGACAGCUGAACUUGCAACAGGCAUCCCCUCGCAUCAGACGAACCGUAAAGUGUGGGUCCUGACCUCCGUAGAUCUCUCUCCCAUUCACGUCUAAGUAUUAAAACUUCGUUUGCACUUUGACAUCCUCGGUGAGAAGUGAGUCACUUACAUUGUGGGAAGAAAAAACUAACGUAUUGCCGCUUACUUUGGUAAGAACGGUUUCCAACUAAUGCCGUGCCACAGGUGUGUCGAAGUACACUUGGUUGAGCUUGUUUUAACUCAUAGUUGCGCACAAAAAAUAUUUCUCAGAAGAGCUGCAUGUGUUUGGUGCAGCGAAAAAAACAAACAAAAAAUACA